rnacentral:rRNA from 1 species
UACAGAGACUGCAAGCGUUAUUCGGAUUCACUGGGCGUAAAGGGUGCGCAGGUGGCCGUGUGUGUCAGAUGUGAAAUCCCGGGGCUUAACUCCGGAACUGCGUCUGAAACUACACGGCUAGAGCAUUGGAGAGGGUAGUGGAAUUCACGGUGUAGCAGUGAAAUGCGUAGAUAUCGUGAGGAACACCAGAGGCGAAGGCGACUACCUGGACAAUAGCUGACACUCAGGCACGAAAGCGUGGGGAGCCCAAAGGG